rnacentral:rRNA from 1 species
AUUGAACGCUGGCGGAAUGCUUUACACAUGCAAGUAGAACGGCAGCACGGGGGCAACCCUGGUGGCGAGUGGCGAACGGGUGAGUAAGACAGCGGAACGUGCCCAGGCGUGGGGGAUAACGUAGCGAAAGUUACGCUAAUACAGCAUACGAUCUACGGAUGAAAGCGGGGGUCCGUAAGGCCUCGCGCGAUUGGAGCGGCCGAUGUCAGAUUAGGUAGUUGGUGAGGUAAAGGCUCACCAAGCCGACGAUCUGUAGCUGGUCAUGAGAGGACGACCAGCCACACUGGGACUGAGACACGGCCCAGACUCCUACGGGAGGCAGCAGUGGGGAAUUUUGGACAAUGGGCGCAAGCCUGAUCCAGCCAUUCCGCGUGCAGGACGAAGGCCUUCGGGUUGUAAACUGCUUUUGUACGGAACGAAAAGGCUCUGGUUAAUACCUGGGGCUCAUGACGGUACCGUAAGAAUAAGCACCGGCUAACUACGUGCCAGCCGCCGCAGUAA